AAGUCGUAACAAGGUUUCCGUAGGUGAACCUGCGGAAGGAUCAUUAACGAAUAUCUAUGGUGUCUUGGUUGUCGCUGGCUCCUCGGAGCAUUGUGCACGCCCGCCAUUUUUAUCUUUCCACCUGUGCACCGACUGUAGGUCUGGAUAACUCUCGCCUCUGGGCGGAUGCGAGGAUUGCUCGGUAACCCGGGCUCUCCUCGAAUUUCCAGACUCUACGUCUUUUUACACACCCCAAACGUAUGAUACAGAAUGUAGUCAAUGGGCUUCAUAGCCUAUAAAACACUAUACAACUUUCAGCAACGGAUCUCUUGGCUCUC
rnacentral:misc_RNA from 1 species